rnacentral:piRNA from 1 species
UGAUGUGAGAUGGUAUCUUAUUGUGGUUA